rnacentral:rRNA from 1 species
AGAGUUUGAUCAUGGCUCAGAAUGAACGUUGGCGGCGUGGAUUAGGCAUGCAAGUCGAGCGAGAACCCCGCAAGGGGGGACAGCGGCGUAAGGGACAGUAAUGUGUAGAUCAUCUGCCCUCAGGCCCGGGAUAGCUGCGGGAAACUGCAGGUAAUACCGGAUAACAUCUCCGGAUCAAAGGUGUGAUUCCGCCUGAGGAUGAGUCUGCAUCCUAUUAGCUAGUUGGUGAGGUAAUGGCUCACCAAGGCGAUGAUGGGUAGCGGGUGUGAGAGCACGACCCGCGUCAUUGGGACUGAGACACUGCCCAGACACCUACGGGUGGCUGCAGUCGAGAAUCUUCGGCAAUGGGCGCAAGCCUGACCGAGCGACGCCGCGUGUGGGAUGAAGGCCUUCGGGUUGUAAACCACUGUUAGAGGGGAUGAAAUGCAGGUGGGUUCUCCCAUCUGUUUGACAUAGCCUCAGAGAAG